AGCCCGGUGGUGCAGUGGGAGCACAUUCCAUCAUUACGCGCUUCUGAUAAUAACCUCAGAUGAGAGGUCGAGGUUGGAAAGACGUGGGUUCAAAUCCCACCCAGGCUA
rnacentral:tRNA from 1 species